UGGUGGAGACGUCAUCUCACGUGCGUUGGGCGGUGGGCACCUCUCUGCCUUGUUUGUGUCUCCUCACGGCAGCUUCUGAGCUUAACGGUGUGGUCUGGCAUGGGGGUCUUGGUGCUUUCUGCUGCCUUUUCGGUUGCUGACCCCAUCCGGGUGGUGAGUUCGAGCUCUGAGGCUUGUUGAAGGAGAGCGGACCUCACCACGUAGUCCAGACUGGCUUGGGAUCGUGCCCUGGUUUUGGGGGUAAUAAGGAGGUUUUGGCUGCUUCUGGCAUGUCAUUUUUCCACCUUUUUUUUUGUGAGCACAUCCACUGACUCGGGGCCGUCUCGGUUUUGAGGAGCGUGCUGCCGCCUCGAAGAUGCGAGCUCAGGAGCCCUGAGACCGGGGUAGGGGGGCAAUUAUGGAAGUGCCGAUGAACUUGUGUCCCUCACAGGAACGAAAGAGCCCUUCCCAAAAUAUAUAUGGGGUGUUUUCCCCCAUCGACUCAAGCACACCUUUAUUGAGAUGGCUGGAAGAGACCCCGAGGUCCGUAGGGCCCUGGGACCCCUCGGGGCCAGCGCCGUGCCGGAGGCUGGAGCUCGCCGACACCGGCAGAGAGGCGGAGUGGAUCCCGACGCUUGUUUACUGCGGUGCGAGCUGAGCUGUAGGAGGGAAGGAUUUGGUAUUCAGCUUGCUGAAAGCUCUGCCGAAGACCUAAUUAACUGAAGUGUUGUGUAUAAAGGAAGCCUUUAUGAAGCCCUGAGCGCCUCCAGGACUCCGGCGAAGACGCCGAGAGCCGGCGGAACGUCUCAUGGAGCGGAGAGGCUCGCUUUCGUGAUGGGGAUGCGCUGGUGGGACCUGGCGGCAGAGUACUGGUAGGGCAGGAGGGCUAUAAAUGCCUCCUUCAGCAGCAUCUUUGCGGAAGGAAGCGGAAGGUCUAGGUCUCCAUUUCUUGCUGGGUCGGGAUUUGUCACCCGCGGUGCCGGCCCGGCUUUCCCCUGCGGCGUGUUUUCCCUCUGGCCUCCUCCCCGCGCCGUCCUGUUCGGCCUCGGCCGGUCCCGCUCGCCGAAAUUCAGCUGUUGGGAGAAACAUCUUCGGUUGUGUCUCUUCUCCACCCGCUUCCACAUCUGCGUUGCUUGAUCGGCUCCACGUUUCCCUUAAAGCUGCCUGAAUAAUUCACCUUGACUAAGAGCAAACGGCAGCGCUGGCCCCGGAGGAGAGAUUUCCGCGAACGCCAAGCGCCCGAAAGCGGCGGAAAGGGGAUCUGUGGCGCCCCGAACCCGGCAGCAAACCGAGCCGGGCCUCCGAGUCGGGACGCGGAAGCUCAAUCCGUCGGGACCGGCAUGUCCGGCUACACGAAACCCAGGUCUCUCUUACACGCGGGGGGGAUUUGCACCAGCCUGCUCCCGCCCGCCGGCUCGGACGGAGCAGAGCUCCCGCGUCGGAAAGCUGAGACGCUCCAGGACGGCUAAGAGGAUCAUUUUCCUUAAGCAGGUUUGAAACCCCUCCACUUUUUUUCUUUUUUUUCUUUUUAAAUAGUCAAAAAAGUCGCCUGGGAUUAGGCCCGCCUUAACUCCUUCCCACGCUGCGUGCUCGAACUCUUGCAGCCUUGCACUGAAAAUCCUUAGCAGGGAGGAACUCCAGGAGCUGCCCUACUUCUAUAAAGCAGUAAAUCAAAUCCUCCAGCGUCUGGU